rnacentral:rRNA from 1 species
AGUGAACGCUGGCGGUAGGCCUAACACAUGCAAGUCGAACGGCAGCACAGUAAGAGCUUGCUCUUACGGGUGGCGAGUGGCGGACGGGUGAGGAAUACAUCGGAAUCUACUUUUUCGUGGGGGAUAACGUAGGGAAACUUACGCUAAUACCGCAUACGACCUACGGGUGAAAGCAGGGGAUCUUCGGACCUUUCGCGAUUGAAUGAGCCGAUGUCGGAUUAGCUAGUUGGCGGGGUAAAGGCCCACCAAGGCGACGAUCCGUAGCUGGUCUGAGGGGAUGAUCAGCCACACUGGAACUGAGACACGGUCCAGACUCCUACGGGAGGCAGCAGUGGGGAAUAUUGGACAAUGGGCGCAAGCCUGAUCCAGCCAUACCGCGUGGGUGAAGAAGGCCUUCGGGUUGUAAAGCCCUUUUGUUGGGAAAGAAAAGCAGCAGGUUAAUACCCCGCUGUUCUGACGGUACCCAAAGAAUAAGCACCGGCUAACUUCGUG